UACGUAGGCAGCGAGCGUUGUUCGGAGUUACUGGGCGUAAAGCGAGCGUAGGCGGUGUCUUAAGUUUGUUGUGAAAUCUCCCGGCUUAACCGGGAGGGUGCGGCGAAUACUGAGAUGCUGGAGUGCCGGAGAGGUAAGCGGAAUUCCUGGUGUAGCGGUGGAAUGCGUAGAUAUCAGGAGGAACACCUGCGGUGUAGACGGCUUACUGGACGGUAACUGACGCUGAGGCACGAAAGCGUGGGUAGCAAACAGG
rnacentral:rRNA from 1 species